ACACGACUACAUUAGAUACCCCCGUAGUCCAGGGUGUAAACGCUGCAGACUUGGUGUUGGAGGCCCUUUGGGGGCAUUCAGUGCCGGAGAGAAGUUGUUAAGUCUGCUACUUGGGGAGUACGUCCGCAAGGAUGAAACUUAAAGGAAUUGGCGGGGGAGCACCGCAACGGGAGGAGCGUGCGGUUUAAUUGGAUUCAACACCGUAAACUCACCAGGGAAGACUGUUACAUGAAGGCCGAGAUGAAGACUCUGCUAGAUUUUCAG
rnacentral:rRNA from 1 species